rnacentral:rRNA from 1 species
UGGGGAAUAUUGGACAAUGGGCGCAAGCCUGAUCCAGCAAUACCGCGUGUGUGAAGAAGGCCUUAGGGUUGUAAAGCACUUUCAAUNGGGAGGAAAACCUGCCGGUCAAUACCCGGUAGCUUGACAUUACCUUUAGAAGAAGCACCGGCUAACUCCGUGCCAGCAGCCGCGGUAAUACGGAGGGUGCGAGCGUUAAUCGGAAUUACUGGGCGUAAAGCGUGCGUAGGCGGUUCGUUAAGUCAGAUGUGAAAGCCCUGGGCUCAACCUGGGAACUGCAUUUGAAACUGGCGRACUAGAGUUGAGUAGAGGGGAGUGGAAUUUCAGGUGUAGCGGUGAAAUGCGUAGAUAUCUGAAGGAACACCAGUGGCGAAGGCGACUCCCUGGACUCRAACUGACGCUGAGGUACGAAAGCGUGGGUAGCAAACAGGAUUAGAUACCCUGGUAGUCCACGCCGUAAACGAUGUCAACUAGCCGUUGGUCCUAUUUACAGGAUUAGUGGCGCAGCUAACGCAUUAAGUUGACCGCCUGGGGAGUACGGCCGCAAGGUUA